AGGGAAUAGAUACCCCGGUAGUCCACGCCGUAAACGAUGAGUGCUAAGUGUUAGAGGGUUUCCGCCCUUUAGUGCUGCAGCAAAACGCAUUAAGCACUCCGCCUGGGGAGUACGGUCGCAAGACUGAAACUCAAAGGAAUUGACGGGGGCCCGCACAAGCGGUGGAGCAUGUGGUUUAAUUCGAAGCGACGCGAAGAACCUUACCAGGUCUUGACAUCCUCUGAUAACCCUAGAGAUAGGGCGUUCCCCUUCGGGGGACAGAGUGACAGGUGGUGCAUGGUUGUCGUCAGCUCGUGUCGUGAGAUGUUGGGUUAAGUCCCGCAACGAGCGCAACCCUUGAUCUUAGUUGCCAGCAUUCAGUUGGGCACUCUAAGGUGACUGCCGGUGACAAACCGGAGGAAGGUGGGGAUGACGUCAAAUCAUCAUGCCCCUUAUGACCUGGGCUACACACGUGCUACAAUGGAUGGUACAAAGGGCUGCAGAACCGCGAGGUUAAGCGAAUCCCAUAAAACCCAUUCUCAGUUCGGAUUGCAGGCU
rnacentral:rRNA from 1 species